AAGUGUCUCGCCUGGGGAGUACGGCCGCAAGGCUAAAACUUAAAGAAAUUGGCGGGAGUAAAAACAAGCAGUGGAGCGUGUGGUUUAAUUCGAUAAUACUCGCAAACCUUACCAGUACUUGACAAAUACACUUUUGUGAUCAGGAGCUGCAUGGUUGUCGUCAGUUCGUGUUGUGAAAUUUUUGGUUUAUUCCUUUAACGAACGAAACCCUUAAAACAUGUUUUUAUCUUGUUUUAUCGCGAGAGAAAUCUCGAUGAAAGAAAGGUCGACGUCUAAAUCCUUAUGGCCCUCAUGUACUUGGGCUACUCAUGCGCUACAAUGGGUAACUACAACGAGAAGUUCAAAUUUAAUUUUAAACAAAACUUUAAAGUUACUCUUUAGUCCGGAUUGUAUUCUGAAACUCGAAUACAUGAAGUUGGAAUUGCUACUAAUCGCGGUUUAGCGUGCCGCGGUGAAUUUUUUCUUUACUUUGUACAUACCGCCCGUCAAGUACUGAAAAUGUGUAUUGCAGGAAGUGAAGUACGAACUUUCUCUUCUAAUUUAUUAACAAAUGAUCUCUUCUGUUUUCAAAAGUUUAAUUAGGUGAGGAGACUAGCUCUGCUCUCGAAAGUAAUUCGCGUAAUUGGUAUUAAGUCGUAACAAGGUAGCCGUAGGGGAACCUGUGGCUGAGUAAUAAC
rnacentral:rRNA from 1 species